AUGGGAGUGAUGAAUAUGAUGGGCAAGUUAAUUGCCGAAAUACAUGCUGGGAGGCUGGAAAAGUGGCAAGAGACAAGUUAAGGAAAAAGAUUGCAACAUAUAAGGAGGGAGUUGUUUUGAGAAAGCAGGAAGUUGAGCAGGCAAAACUAGCAAUCACCAAAGAUGAGGCAGAACUAUCAAAGCUAAUAGAUGAGGAGAACAUACUCAAAGGGCUAGUCCAGCAGCUUAAAGAGCGUAAAGAACAGAUAGAGAAAGCAGAAGAGAAAGAACGCUUACAGAAAGAAAAAGAAGAAAAUGAAAAAAAUGAAGCUGAAGAAAAAGCUUCUAGAGAGAAAGGAAAAGUUGAAGAGGAAGCUCAGCAAGAAAAAGGAGGGGCCAUGGAGAAAGCUAAUGUAGGUGACAAUCCUGCAGAAAGUGUUGAUAAUGAUAAAAUUGGUGUUUUGGAUGAUUCUUCUUUGGAUCAGGAUGAGGCAGGAGAGCAUGAUGAUCUUGUAGCCGAAGCUGAAAUAUAUAACAAAAUUGAAGGAUCCUCAGAAAAUGAAGUGAAGCAGCAUGUGGCACAAGAGGAGGAAAAUUCCAUCUCACCAGAAAGCAAGGAUGACUCUGCAGUUGUGAGUGUAAUUGAUCACGAUACUGGGACUGAGGUGUCUCAUGAUCAUGCUGUGAAAGUGGAAAAUGAUUUAUCAAAAAAUACUGAAGGUUUGUCAAAGGAAGAGCUGGGCCGCCUUGUUGCUUCUCGCUGGACAGGAAGUUCUGAGAGUAAAACUGAGGCAGUUGAUGUGGCAAAGGAUGACCAUGGAAACCAUGAAGAUCAUGAAGAGAUGCCACCAGACAUGCAUGAUGAGGAAUAUGAUGGCUAUGCUUCGGAAACUGAUGAUGACACUGGAAAGUAUGAUGAUGUUGAUACAGAAGAUGAUAUGGAUGAGACUUAUGAAGAGGAUGCUCAUGAUGAUACUGGAUCUUCCUAUAAGCCUGACCCUGAGGAUGACAUAGACUUGUCAGAUAUAACCUCGUCAAGCAACCCAUCUUGGUUGGAGAAGAUACAACAAACUGUUCGUAACAUUCUGCAUGCUGUUAAUAUCUUCCAAACUCCAGUGGACAAAUCAGAGGCUGCUCACAUACGCAAGGAAUAUGAAGAAUCCAGCACCAAGUUAUCUAAAAUACAGUCAAGGAUAUCAAGUUUGACACAAAAAUUAAAACAUGAUUUUGGAACAGAGAAAGAGUUCUUUUCAUUCUACGAUCACUGUUUUGAGAGCAAACAGAACAAGUAUGUUUACAAAGUAUGCCCAUUCAAACAAGCUUCCCAGGUGGAGGGCCAUACAACAACUAGUUUGGGGCGUUGGGACAAAUUCGAGGAUUUGUACCGGACCAUGAUAUUUUCAAAUGGUGACAGGUGCUGGAAUGGACCUGCUAGAAGUUUAAAGGUCAAGCUGAGAUGUGGAUUGAAAAAUGAGCUUACAGACAUAGAUGAACCAAGCCGUUGCGAAUAUGUAGCAUUCUUAUCUACCCCAGCUCUUUG
rnacentral:misc_RNA from 1 species